AUUGAACGCUGGCGGCAGGCCUAACACAUGCAAGUCGAGCGAGCGGCGGACGGGUGAGUAAUGUAUGGGGAACUGCCUGAUAGAGGGGGAUAACUACUGGAAACGGUAGCUAAUACCGCAUACCAUCGGAUGUUCCCAGAUGGGCUUAGCUAGUAGGUGGGGUAACGGCGUACCUAGGCGACGAUCCCUAGCUGGUCUGAGAGGAUGACCAGCCACACUGGCACUGGGACACGGUCCAGACUCCUACGGGAGGCAGCGGUGGGGAAUAUUGCACAAUGGGCGCAAGCCUGAUGCGGCAAUGCCGCGUGUGUGAAGAAGGCCCUAGGGUUGUAAAGUACUUUCAGGCGGGAGGCGUUACCCACAGAAGAAGCACCGGCUAACUCCGUGCCAGCAGCCGCGGUAAUUC
rnacentral:rRNA from 1 species